rnacentral:rRNA from 1 species
UACGUAGGGGGCAAGCGUUUGUCCGGAAUCAUUGGGCGUAAAGAGCGUGUAGGCGGCUCGAUAAGUCUGCUGUGAAAGUCCAGGGCUCAACCCUGGAAGGCCGGUGGAAACUGUCGGGCUAGAGUCCGGAAGAGGCGAGUGGAAUUCCCGGUGUAGCGGUGAAAUGCGCAGAUAUCAGGAGGAACACCUAUUGCGAAGGCAGCUCGCUGGGACGUAACUGACGCUGAGACGCGAAAGCGUGGGGAGCAAACAGG